UACGAAGGGGGCUAGCGUUGUUCGGAAUCACUGGGCGUAAAGCGCACGUAGGCGGAUGUGCCAGUCAGGGGUGAAAUCCCGGAGCUCAACUUCGGAACUGCCUCUGAUACAGCACGUCUUGAGUCCGGAAGAGGUGGGUGGAAUUCCUAGUGUAGAGGUGAAAUUCGUAGAUAUUAGGAAGAACACCGGCGGCGAAGGCGGCCCACUGGUCCGGUACUGACGCUGAGGUGCGAAAGCGUGGGGAGCAAACAGG
rnacentral:rRNA from 1 species